rnacentral:rRNA from 1 species
UACGAAGGGGGCUAGCGUUGCUCGGAAUCACUGGGCGUAAAGGGUGCGUAGGCGGGGCUUUAAGUCAGGGGUGAAAUCCUGGAGCUCAACUCCAGAACUGCCUUUGAUACUGAAGAUCUUGAGUUCGGGAGAGGUGAGUGGAACUGCGAGUGUAGAGGUGAAAUUCGUAGAUAUUCGCAAGAACACCAGUGGCGAAGGCGGCUCACUGGCCCGAUACUGACGCUGAGGCACGAAAGUGUGGGGAGCAAACAGG